GAAGCUGACCAGACAGUCGCCGCUUCGUCGUCGUCCUUUCGGGGAGACGGGCGGAGGGGAGGAAAGUCCGGGCUCCAUAGGGCAGGGUGCCAGGUAACGCCUGGGGGGGAAACCCACGACCAGUGCAACAGAGAGCAAACCGCCGAUGGCCCGCGCAAGUGGGAUCAGGUAAGGGUGAAAGGGUGCGGUAAGAGCGCACCGCGCGGCUGGUAACAGUCCGUGGCACGGUAAACUCCACCCGGAGCAAGGCCAAAUAGGGGUUCAUAAGGUACGGCCCGUACUGAACCCGGGUAGGCUGCUUGAGCCAGUGAGCGAUUGCUGGCCUAGAUGAAUGACUGUCCACGACAGAACCCGGCUUAUCGGUCAGUUUCACUU
rnacentral:RNase_P_RNA from 1 species